rnacentral:rRNA from 1 species
CACUCCUACGGGAGGCAGCAGUGGGGAAUUUUGGACCAUGGGCGAAAGCCUGAUCCAGCCAUGCCGCGUGCAGGAUGAAGGCCUUCGGGUUGUAAACUGCUUUUGUACGGAACGAAACGGCCUUUUCUAAUAAAGAGGGCUAAUGACGGUACCGUAAGAAUAAGCACCGGCUAACUACGUGCCAGCAGCCGCGGUAAUACGUAGGGUGCAAGCGUUAAUCGGAAUUACUGGGCGUAAAGCGUGCGCAGGCGGUUAUGUAAGACAGUUGUGAAAUCCCCGGGCUCAACCUGGGAACUGCAUCUGUGACUGCAUAGCUAGAGUACGGUAGAGGGGGAUGGAAUUCCGCGUGUAGCAGUGAAAUGCGUAGAUAUGCGGAGGAACACCGAUGGCGAAGGCAAUCCCCUGGACCUGUACUGACGCUCAUGCACGAAAGCGUGGGGAGCAAACAGGAUUAGAUACCCCUGUAGUCCC